AGAAUGAACGCUGGCGGCGUGCUUAACACAUGCAAGUCGAGCGAGAAAGCGGCUUCGGUCGUGAGUACAGCGGCGAACGGGUGAGUAACACGUGGAUAACCUGCCUGGAAGUGGGGAAUAACUCAGGGAAACUUGAGCUAAUACCGCAUACGCCCACUCCGCGCGAGCGGGGUGAGCAAAGAUGGCCUCUUCAUGAAAGCUAUCGCUUACAGAGGGAUCCGCGUCUGAUUAGCUAGUUGGUGAGGUAGUGGCUCACCAAGGCAACGAUCAGUAGCCGGCCUGAGAGGGUGAUCGGCCACACUGGAACUGAGACACGGUCCAGACUCCUACGGAAGGCAGCAGUGGGGAAUAUUGGACAAUGGGCGAAAGCCUGAUCCAGCAACGCCGCGUGGAGGAUGAAUGCCUUCGAGUUGUAAACUCCUGUCAGGUGGGACGAAAAGAUCUCGGCAAAUAACCGGAAUCCUUGACGGUACCACCGGAGGAAGCCCCGGCUAACUCCGUGCCAGCAGCCGCGGUAAUACGGAGGGGGCAAGCGUUAUUCGGAAUCAUUGGGCGUAAAGGGCGCGUAGGCGGCUUGGCAAGUCAGGGGUGAAAUCCCUCGGCUCAACCGAGGAACUGCCUCUGAAACUGUCUGGCUUGAGGCCGGGAGAGGGUAGUGGAAUUCCCAGUGUAGCGGUGAAAUGCGUAGAUAUUGGGAGGAACACCGGUGGCGAAGGCGGCUACCUGGACCGGAUCUGACGCUGAGGCGCGAAAGUGUGGGGAGCAAACAGGAUUAGAUACCCUGGUAGUCCACACUGUAAACGAUGAGCACUCGGUGCCGCGGGUGUCGACCCCUGCGGUGCCUUAGGAAACCCGUUAAGUGCUCCGCCUGGGGAGUACGGUCGCAAGGCUG
rnacentral:rRNA from 1 species